GACGAACGCUGGCGGCGUGCUUAACACAUGCAAGUCGAACGGUGAAGCGCCUUCCUUUUUGGUGGGUGUGGAUGAGUGGCGAACGGGUGAGUAACACGUGAGUAACCUGCCCCCUUCUUCUGGAUAACCGCAUGAAAGUGUGGCUAAUACGGGAUAUUCUGGGUCUGUCGCAUGAUGGGUCUGGGAAAGAUAUUGUUUCGGUGGGGGAUGGGCUCGCGGCCUAUCAGCUUGUUGGGGGGGUGAUGGCCUACCAAGGCGGUGACGGGUAGCCGGCCUGGGAGGGUGGACGGUCACACUGGGACUGAGACACGGCCCAGACUCCUACGGGAGGCAGCAGUGGGGAAUAUUGCACAAUGGGCGCAAGCCUGAUGCAGCGACGCCGCGUGAGGGAUGGAGGCCUUCGGGUUGUGAACCUCUUUCGCCAGUGAAGCAGGCCUGCCUCGUUUGUGGGUGGGUUGACGGUAGCUGGAGAAGAAGCGCCGGCUAACUACGUG
rnacentral:rRNA from 1 species